AUACGGAGGGGGCUAGCGUUGUUCGGAAUUACUGGGCGUAAAGCGUACGUAGGCGGACUGAUCAGUUGGGGGUGAAAUCCCAGGGCUUAACCCUGGAACUGCCUUCAAUACUGUCAGUCUUGAGAUUGGAAGAGGUGAGUGGAAUUCCCAGUGUAGAGGUGAAAUUCAUAGAUAUUAGGAGGAACACCGGUGGCGAAGGCGGCUCACUGGUCCAAUACUGACGCUGAGGUACGGAAGCGUGGGGAGCAAACAGGAUUAGAAACCCGAGUAGUCC
rnacentral:rRNA from 1 species